UGCCAGCAGCCGCGGUAACACGUAGGGGGCGAGCGUUGUCCGGAUUUAUUGGGCGUAAAGGGCUCGUAGGCGGUUCAGUAAGUCAGAUGUGAAAACUCGAGGCUCAACCUCGAGACGCCAUCUGAUACUGCUGUGACUAGAGUCCGGUAGAGGAGUGUGGAAUUCCUGGUGUAGCGGUGAAAUGCGCAGAUAUCAGGAGGAACACCAACGGCGAAGGCAGCACUCUGGGCCGGUACUGACGCUGAGGAGCGAAAGCAUGGGGAGCAAACAGGAUUAGAUA
rnacentral:rRNA from 1 species